rnacentral:rRNA from 1 species
GACGAACGCUGGCGGCGUGCUUAACACAUGCAAGUCGAGCGGGGAUCAGUUACGGAAAGCUUCGGCCGGAAGUGAUUGAUUCUAGCGGCGGACGGGUGAGUAACGCGUGAGCAAUCUGUCCCACACAGGGGGAUAACAACUGGAAACAGUUGCUAAUACCGCAUAAGACCACGGUGUCGCAUGGCAUUGAGGUAAAAGAUUUAUCGGUGUGGGGUGAGCUCGCGUCUGAUUAGCUAGUUGGUGAGGUAACGGCCCACCAAGGCGGCGAUCAGUAGCCGACCUGAGAGGGUGAUCGGCCACAUUGGAACUGAGACACGGUCCAG